rnacentral:rRNA from 1 species
GAACGAACGCUGGCGGCGCGCCUAAUACAUGCAAGUCGAACGAGAAGCUGUAGCAAUACAGUUGUACAGUGGCGAACGGGUGAGGAAUACAUGGGUGACCUACCCUCGAGUGGGGAAUAACCAGCCGAAAGGUUGGCUAAUACCGCGUACGCUUCCCAGUCUACGGGUUGGGAAGGAAAGCGAUGCCGUGGGUAUCGCGCUCAAGGUUGGGCUCAUGUCCUAUCAGCUUGUGGUGGGGUAACGGCUCACCAAGGCAACGACGGGUAGCUGGUCUGAGAGGACGAUCAGCCACACUGGCACUGCGACACGGGCCAGACUCCUACGGGAGGCAGCAGUAAGGAAUAUUGCGCAAUGGGCGAAAGCCUGACGCAGCGACGCCGCGUGGGGGAUGAAGGUCUUCGGAUUGUAAACCCCUUUCGGGAGGGAAGAUGGAACGAGCAAUCGUUCGGACGGUACCUCCAGAAGCAGCCACGGCUAACUUCGUGCCAGCCGCCGCAGUAAU